UGGGGAAUAUUGGACAAUGGGCGCAAGCCUGAUCCAGCCAUGCCGCGUGAGUGAUGAAGGCCCUAGGGUUGUAAAGCUCUUUCACCGGUGAAGAUAAUGACGGUAACCGGAGAAGAAGCCCCGGCUAACUUCGUGCCAGCAGCCGCGGUAAUACGAAGGGGGCUAGCGUUGUUCGGAUUUACUGGGCGUAAAGCGAACGUAGGCGGACUUUUAAGUCAGGGGUGAAAUCCCGGGGCUCAACCCCGGAACUGCCUUUGAUACUGGAAGUCUUGAGUAUGGUAGAGGUGAGUGGAAUUCCGGGUGUAGAGGUGAAAUUCGUAGAUAUUCGGAGGAACACCAGUGGCGAAGGCGGCUCACUGGACAAUUACUGACGCUGAGGUGCGAAAGCGUGGGGAGCAAACAGG
rnacentral:rRNA from 1 species